UCCAAUAUAUAGACAAGGUACAACAGAAACAAUUUCUAUACAGCUCAGCCAAACAGAAACUAACUAUUAGUUAUCAAAUAAAACAAAGGCUAACAAACACUAUACAACUAAUAGAAGCAAUGUUUUACAGCUAGAAUUUCUAUUCUAAUACUCCCCCUUAAGAUAGAUUGUAAAGAUCUUUUACAGCCAUCUUGGAUUAAAGUCUGGAAAGAACAGGGGAUAACAAAGCCUUGGUAAAAGUAUCCAUUAAUUGUUCAUGAGAAACAAUAGGAAGAAACUUGAGGGAUCCUUCUUUGAUCUUGUCAUGAACAAAGUGACAAUCAAGCUCAAUAUGUUUAGUGCACUCAUGAAAUGUAGGAUUGGAAAUGAUGUGCAUGGCUGCUUGAUUAUAGCAAAAUAUCAUAGCUGGGGAAUGAACAUCCACAUGAAAUUCUCAAAGUAAUUGUUGAAGCCAUGUAAGUUCACUAGCAGUAGCUACUAAAGCUCUAUUCUCCCUCCUCUCGGUGGCCUUCGGUUUCCUUCUUCUUUCUUCCUCCCUCCUCUCGGUGACCAAGGCUUUCUCCCCCUCUAGCUUUACUGGGUAGGGGUGAAAUGGUUCCCUGUCAGGCCACAAUCAAAGCUUCACUCUACAGCCAUGUCAGGUGUCCCUUGGGCGAAAAUUGUGGGUUCUAAUAGACAUGAAAAUCCACUUGAACCUCCUCUCCAUCUCCAAAAAGAUCACUUCUUGAAGAUGAAAAACUCCAUUCAAACCUAUGUUAACAUUGGUCAUGAACUAUGGAACCAAGCCAAGGAUAGCAUGCAUUCGACCUUGUAUGCAAAAAUUCUUGGGUAAAGCACUCCCGUUAAUAGGCCAAGCUAAGCUCGCUCUUGCUGACGCUUGGCAAGGUCUUGGUGGAUUCACAAUUACAGACCUGCCAAAUGAAUUUUAUUACAUACGGUGCGAAUAGCCUCAAAUGCAAAAUUAUCUCCUUUGGGAGAGAUUGUGGACGAUGGCCAACAAGAUCCUCCAAUUAUCUGCUUGGCGUGAGACCUUUCAGCCGGCCUUUGAGAAGCUAUCGACGACUGUUGUUUGGCUCCAGCUACAUCAUUUUCCCAUGGAGCUUUGGGAUGGCGAAAUCCUUGAAACUAUUUCUUCUCAGUUUGGAAAGGCUCUCAAAGUUGAUGAACAUACCCUCAACCGAUUUAGGGCCAAAUUCGCAUGAGUUUGUGUUGAAUUAAACCUUGAUCAACAACUUCAAUAAGGAACCUAGAUAAAUUAUGGAGAUAAUGUUGUUUUUAUCUUGGUUUAAUUAAUAUGAAAAUUUUCCUGUGUUUUGUUACAGGUGUUGCCGUGUGGGGCAUGGUGAAACUCAUUAUAAUUUUGCUAGCAAUCAGCAGCAUGAAGUUGUUCAUUCAAUGCCCCCUGUGUUGGUCGUGCAGGAGCUGGUGUCGGAUGAACGAGCUAUGCAACUUGAUGGGGCAAGCAAAGAACAAGAUGGCUCUCCUGAAACCCUGAAAAUCAUUCAGAUUUGGUUCAAUCAAAUGAUGGUCAAGCUCUAAUAUGGACUCUGGUUAAAACCCAGAUUUAGUCACGGCCCUGGUCAUGGUCGGUUCAACGACAAUGGAGGUGGCUGAAACCCUAGCAAUGGGAACGAUGAUGGAAAUUUUUAUAAGUGUCCUCCCACGUCGAUGGAUGAUUGACACGUGGCCGAAGCUUCCAAUAACUUCUCUAUUAGUGGGGGUAUGGCAGGGAGUGGUUGGGGCCCCACACGUCAAUCAAAUGACACUUCAAUCAAGCAUACUCAUCCCACUGCUCCUCUUUCUGUUAAGCACUUUAACCCAGUAGUGGAAAAUUAUCCUCUAGACGUACCGUUGCCUAAUCCCAACCACAUGUCCCAUCAUCCUUCCAUGCCCUUGCAUCUUUCCAAUGAUCUUGGUGUUGGUAGAACUUCCAAAGAAAACCCUUGGAACUCUAAAAAAAAAUCCUCUCCUCUCAACUCCCAAAGCAAUCCUCCACAACCCAUGCUUGUCUCCUCAGUAAUCCCAAAGGACACCCCUCCUCCUAUCUUGGCUGGAUCUGAUGUUGAUGCAAAUCACUUGGCUUUGAUGAUCAGAGUCCAGGAAGCCCUCUCCCAACUCGUUUCCUCUAAGGAUCAUUUCAUGGAUGAAAGGGCUUCUAUUGCUCAUACUGCUUUAGAGGAUUCCAAUUAUAGCAUGGAACCCGAUGAUGAAAUGACUAUAUUUCAAUACCAUAAGGACAUUAUAAACUAGAAGCCUUAGCAAGGAGAGAUCCCAGCAAAGGCAAACCCCGAUCUAAGAAUGAGAUUGGGAGUGGGUUGCUAUACCCGUUUGCGGCUUUUGUGGAGGCAUCAUUGUCCUUUAGUCUCUCCUCAUUGGAACUGUCACUCCAAUCAUUGCCACUAGAAUGUCCCUUCACCUUGUGAUCACUAAAGAUGAGCAUUCUUGGCUUCUCUCAGUUAUUUACAAUUCUCAGGUUUUAUCUCAUCAAAAAAUCCACUAGCAGAUCAUAUCUGGUAUGACCUCUCUAACCGACCCUUAGCUUCUUGCCAGGGACUUCAAUGCUAUUAUCUCCAUUAACGAGCAAAAAGGUGGCUCUUUCUGUAAUUAUGUUUCCAAAGCAAACUUUUUCUCUGAUUUCAUCCUUACAAAUCAUCUUUCUGAUUUGGGCUUUGUUGGCUCUUAUUACACUUGGUGCAAUGGUCAAGUUGGCUUAGCUCGACGAUGGCUGGGCUUGAUCGGUUUUUAGGAAAUUUUGAUUAGAUUUCUGCAUUUAAUUCUUUUCAAAAUCAGCAUCUUGCUCAUACAAACUCCAUCUUCUGUUCCCAAUGUGCUAGACUUCAUUGGUUGGAGAAAGGGGACAGAAAUAACAGUUACUUCCACAGGGUUGCCAAAAUCUGUCAUCAUAAGAAGAAAAUCAAUGCUCUCAGCGAUAAUGCAGAGGAUAAGAUUGCUCUGACUAAACCUGUUUCUAAAGGUGAAGUCUUUCGCACUUUUAGAUCUAUGCCUCGCGGGAAAAGCCCUGGGUCGGAUUGGCUAAAUGUUGAGUUUUAUGUUUACUAAUGGAGAAUUAUUGGUGAUAAUCUUUUCAAUGCUAUCCUGUAUUUUUUUAACACCUCAACUAUGCCAAAAUCCUGGGGUAUAACUUCAUUGCUCUUAUUCCUAAAAAAGAUUCUCCCAAUUAAUUUCUAAUUUUUUGCCCAAUUUUCCUCUGCAAUAUUUGCUAUAAAGUGAUUUCAAAAAUUUUAGCAAAUCGCCUUAAGCUUGUGAUCCCGAAUUUAAUUGGCCCUGAGCUAUCUGGUUUUCUUUCUGGGCAUUCUACAUUUUGACAAUAGUAUUGCCAUCUAAGAAAUUGCCCAUUCUAUUGAAACUAAAAGAAACCUCCCCCCUCCCCCAAAGGAUGAUUGAAAAAAUAGAUAUUGAGAAAGCCUUUGAUACUGUAGAAUUAAAAACCAUUAUUGCAUCCCUCCAGCAAAUGGACUUCCCUGAAGCUUGGAUCUCAUGGGUAAAUUUGUGUCUCUCCUUUGCUUAUUUCUCCUUUUUAAUCAUUGGUACUCCGACUUCUUGGAUCACUAGCUCUCGUGGAGUUAGAUAGGAUGACCCCAUCUCUCCUAUUCUCUUUCUCCUUGUUUCCCAAAAUCUCUCAGCAGUCCUAAAUUAUGCCCUCCGAACCAAUCUAAUUUCUGGUUUUAGCCCAAGCCUUUCCAAGAACUUCAACCACCUCAUGUUUGCUGAUGAUUUGAUUAUUGUUUCUAAAGCCUCUUGAUCAUCGGCCAAAAACUAUCGUCUCUGCUUAAACAUUUACAGUGAUCUCACUAGUCAAUAGCCAAACUUGAAUGAGUCAGCUCUUUACCUUCCCUCUUGGUUUAACAAGAAAGUUGGUAAAGCCAUUUUUAGAAUCUUGGGCAUUAAACUUGAUAAAUUUUUUUUCAAUUACCUUGGUGUGCCCAUUUCUCCUACAAGAUUACCAGUCUCUAAUUUCAACUUCCUUGUUAAUCGAGUUGAUACUACUAUAAAUCUCAGAAUUACUCGGCCUUAUCCAUUGUUGGUCGGGUGGUGCUAAUUAAUAGCAGUAUCCUCCCAAUUCCCACUUAUUAUCUUUUCUGUCUUUCUUAUUCUAGACACCGUUUGGGAUCUCUAGAGUUGGAAUAGCAAGGGUUUUCAUUCUAUUGGCUAGGACAUUGCUACCUCAAGAAAACCUAAUGGGGGGCCAGAAAUUAAUAGCCUUUAAAAAUCGUAGUAUGACUGAUUUGUGGCAAGACCCUUGUCUUUUGAAUCUAAUGGCCAAAAAUAUUUUUGCUAUUUUAAAUUUAGAAAACAAGCUUUGGGUUGACAUUUUCAAAAGCAAUUAUGGUAAUUGGUCGGUUUGGAAUUGUGUUUCUCGCACCAAUGCCUCAUUGUUUUACAACUCCAUUUGCAAAGUUGCUAAUUCUCUCAAAACAAAUUUCAGAAUGUCUACUUGUAAUCUUAGUAUGACUGAUUUGUGGCAAGACCCUUGUCUUUUGGAUCUACCUAUUUAAAUGAAACCCACUUAUCUUGAUAUGCUUAUUCUAGAGGAUUUUUCUUUCUCUGAUCUGGUGAGGGAUGGUUGCAUUGAUUUGGCUCUUAUAAAAAUCUGUUUGGUCCCCUUGUGGAUGAUGAUUGGAUCAAUAAAAUCUCUAUUGACCCCUCUUCAAACAAUGAGUGGAUUUGGUGGCCCUGCUCUUUAAAAGCUACUAUUGCUCAUGCUAUCUACGACCAUUUGAACGGUAACAUGAUUGGGCAAACUUCCCUGAAGGGGUGGCAUUAUA